rnacentral:rRNA from 1 species
UACGGAGGGUGCGAGCGUUGUCCGGAAUCAUUGGGCGUAAAGGGCGCGUAGGUGGCUUCUUAAGCGUGCGGUGAAAGCCUGGGGCUCAACCCCGGGUCGGCCGUGCGAACUGGGGGGCUGGAGCACUGUAGAGGCAGGCGGAAUUCUGGGUGUAGCGGUGGAAUGCGUAGAGAUCCGGAAGAACACCAGUGGCGAAGGCGGCCCGCUGGGCAGUGGCUGACGCUGAGGCGCGACAGCGUGGGGAGCAAACAGG